rnacentral:rRNA from 1 species
ACUGAACCUUAUCAUUUAGAGGAAGGAGAAGUCGUAACAAGGUUUCCGUAGGUGAACCUGCGGAAGGAUCAUUGUUGAAACCCUGCACAGCAGAACGACCCGUGAACUCGUAAAACACAAUCGGGGGGUGAGGGGCCAACCCGAACCCCCUUGGCUGUCGGGGGGUGCCAACUCGGGYGUCGCUGGUCGAUGCCUGUUGUUGUUGCCUUCCUGGCCACACAAACGAACCCCGGCGCAAACCGCGCCAAGGAAAUCAAACGAAUCAAGCAUUGCCCCGGUGUUCGGGGUGCUGCGUCGUAUUCUGUAUGUCAAAACGACUCUCGGCAACGGAUAUCUCGGCUCUCGCAUCGAUGAAGAACGUAGCGAAAUGCGAUACUUGGUGUGAAUUGCAGAAUCCCGUGAACCAUCGAGUCUUUGAACGCAAGUUGCGCCCGAAGCCAUUAGGCCGAGGGCACGUCUGCCUGGGCGUCACACAACGUUGCCCCCCCAACYCCAAACCUCGUCUCCGAGGAGGGAGGSCGGGGGGCGGAUGCUGGCUUCCCGUGUGCCACGGCUYGCGGUUGGCCCAAAUAUGAGCACUCGGCGACGAAUGCCGUGGCAAUCGGUGGUUGUCCAACCYUCGGUGCCAUGCUGCGCGCGUGAGUUGCUGAUGCGUGCUCAUCGGCCCCCAAUGCGCCGUACAUGCGGCGUUUACAACGCGACCCCAGGUCAGGCGGGGCUACCCGCUGAGUUUAAGC